AAGGUCAAUCCAUCUCCAAAGUAUCCUGACUAUCCUCGUCCAAAGCCAACUCGCAUCUACAACACUCGUGCAAACAAAAAGAAAGAACAUAUCAGUUUGAACAAGAAAUCCACGAGCAUUCGUGAAGAGGUAACAACACUUCAGGCCGAGUUAGAGAGACUAAGUACCUUGGUAGCUUCACUGGUAGCUUCGCACAAAUCAACUGCAGUUCCAGCAAGGGCCCGAACGCCAACAUCAACAGAAGCCUCAACAACAGGCUCCAAAGAUGCCGUUUGACCCAAUCCCG
rnacentral:lncRNA from 1 species